AUUCACUUUGCCAGCAUAAAUGCUAAAUGUUGAGUAAUACAGAUAAAGCUAGCAUAGCCCCAGGGAAAGAAUGAUAUAUAUUUGUGAAGAAUUCCAUAUAUUU
rnacentral:snRNA from 1 species